CACGUAGGGCGCGAGCGUUGUCCGGAAUUAUUGGGCGUAAAGAGCUCGUAGGCGGCCUGUUGCGUCCGCUGUGAAAGCCCGGGGCUUAACCCCGGGUCGGCAGUGGAUACGGGCAGGCUAGAGGUAGGUAGGGGAGAAUGGAAUUCCCGGUGUAGCGGUGAAAUGCGCAGAUAUCGGGAGGAACACCGGUGGCGAAGGCGGUGGUCUGGGCCGGAACUGACGCUGAGGAGCGAAAGCGUGGGGAGCGAACAGG
rnacentral:rRNA from 1 species